AAUUCUAAGGUGAGCGAGCGAACUCUCGUUAAGGAACUCGGCAAAAUGACCCCGUAACUUCGGGAGAAGGGGUGCUCUUUAGGGUUAACGCCCAGAAGAGCCGCAGUGAAUAGGCCCAAGCGACUGUUUAUCAAAAACACAGGUCUCUGCUAAACCGUAAGGUGAUGUAUAGGGGCUGACGCCUGCCCGGUGCUGGAAGGUUAAGAGGAGUGGUUAGCUUCUGCGAAGCUACGAAUCGAAGCCCCAGUAAACGGCGGCCGUAACUAUAACGGUCCUAAGGUAGCGAAAUUCCUUGUCGGGUAAGUUCCGACCCGCACGAAAGGCGUAACGAUUUGGGCACUGUCUCAACGAGAGACUCGGUGAAAUCAUAGUACCUGUGAAGAUGCAGGUUACCCGCGACAGGACGGAAAGACCCCGUGGAGCUUUACUGUAGCCUGAUAUUGAAAUUCGGCACAGCUUGUACAGGAUAGGUAGGAGCCUUUGAAACGUGAGCGCUAGCUUACGUGGAGGCGCUGGUGGGAUACUACCCUA
rnacentral:rRNA from 1 species